UACGUAGGGUGCGAGCGUUUGUCCCGGAAUUACUGGGCGUAAAGAGCUCGUUAGGUGGUUUGUUCGCGUUGUUACGUGAAAACCGGGGGCUUAACCCUCGGCGUGCGGGCGAUGACGGGCAGACGUUGAGUACUGCAGGGGGAGGACUGGAAUUCCUGGUGUAGCGGUGGAAUGCGCAGAUAUCAGGAGGAACACCGGUGGCGAAGGCGGGUCUCUGGGCAGUAACUGACGCUGAGGAGCGAAAGCGUGGGGAGCGAACAGG
rnacentral:rRNA from 1 species